UUAGGGCUUUCACAACAUCCAUCUAUGGCGCCGACGUCGAAUGUGAAUGACACGGAUGACAACAUGAAUGAGUUUGGCGUACACGACUUCGACGACGAUCCAAACUUUGAUCAGUUCACUAAUUUGAUUUGUGGUGAGAGCCAAGGCUCACUCCCCUUCACCUUCGAUCCCAUACCUGAUAUCUUCUUCAAUUGCCAAUUCCUUCCAAGCCCCUGCCCUGCGGGCUGCGACCCAUUUGUCUGUCCUGACACUGCCUUAGCUGUCAGUGAUGAACUAAUUCCACACACUCUCCGCUUAGCUCUUUCUCGUGUUUCAUGGCGACGUUCAGGCCAAGAGAGAGAGAUCGGUAGAUCAUUAGGAAUUCGAAGACGACGACGGCGACGGCGACGACGGAGAUUAUUCUUCUGCAACGACCGCCUCGGCUGCUACAAUUGGUGCUGAUAAUUCAGAACAAAGGCCGAAAGCUGAGAGUUCCAUCAUUUUGAUUUCUGAGACGAGGUGGAGAGGACGAAUGAAGCAUGCGCUGUAUGCUUUGCGUUCUCUGGCUCCCAACAUAACUAAGAUACACAAGGCAAGUAUUCUCGGGAGAUGCAGCAACAUAUCUGCAGGAGCUGCAAGCACAGGAAGCUGAAGACCGAGGUUGAAGAUCUCGAAGUGUCCUCCAUAUUAGCCUCAUCACAAGACCUCAAGCAAGGAUCAGAUCAAAGCCCCACGAGGAUACGAGUUCAAGGCGCACACAACCAUUUAAUAUUCUGCAAGAAGAUCAUGCAGGUUUAUUUUUUUGGCUUGUGUGGGAGAGAAGCAUUUAUGUGAAGAUGGAGGUGAUACAAGUGGAGGAAAGUGAGUUUUAUCUGAAACUGGUGGUAACCAGCCAAGGCGAAGCGGUGGCUUCCUCACCCUACAGGGCUCUUGAGUCUCUGUCAGGGUACAGCAUUCACAAUUCACAGUUGGCCACACUUUGUGACUCAUUUCAACUCACGUUAACACUGAAAGUCGACCAAGGCUGUGAGGUAGAAACUAACCUCCCAAAUCUGAAGCUGUGGCUGACUACUGACGCUCUUCUCAACCAAGGAUUCGAGUUCAUAACAAAAAAAGUCAGCUUGGCUCUUCGUUUCAGUGUUAUUUUAAUGUAAGCCUGUAAUGAAACCACUGUGAAGAUUCAUGUCUAGAAGCGGACUUCGUCCUGUAAUAGACAAAAUAACACCGUGAUCGGGAGACAAAGAGGCGUGUCGUCAUGCGUCACACUCCAGGAUACAAAUCCAAAUCGUCUCGCCAUUAAACUAGUUGAACUAGCGUGUACAACGACGUGUAAUUAAUGGCUGGUACAUGACCCACGAAAUAUGUUUAGAAAAUCUUGAAUAUCAUCGUUUUUGUCCAA